UACGUAGGGUGCGAGCGUUGUUCGGAUUUACUGGGCGUAAAGCGCACGUAGGCGGAUCGUUAAGUCGGGGGUGAAAUCCUGGAGCUCAACUCCAGAACUGCCUUCGAUACUGGCGAUCUUGAGUCCGGAAGAGGUGAGUGGAACUCCUAGUGUAGAGGUGGAAUUCGUAGAUAUUAGGAAGAACACCAGUGGCGAAGGCGGCUCACUGGUCCGGUACUGACGCUGAGGUGCGAAAGCGUGGGGAGCAAACAGG
rnacentral:rRNA from 1 species